rnacentral:piRNA from 1 species
UAAUCUCACGAUGUCAUGCAAUAUUGGCCUU